rnacentral:rRNA from 1 species
GAUGAACGCUAGCUACAGGCUUAACACAUGCAAGUCGAACGAAGACAUCUGAGUGCUUGCACUUGGAUGGACUGAGUGGCGGACGGGUGAGUAACGCGUGGGUAACCUGCCUUAUACAGGGGGAUAACAGUUGGAAACGACUGCUAAUACCGCAUAAGCCCACGGGUCGGCAUCGACCAGAGGGAAAAGGAGCAAUCCGCUUUGAGAUGGCCUCGCGUCCGAUUAGCUGGUUGGUGAGGUAACGGCCCACCAAGGCAACGAUCGGUAGCCGGACUGAGAGGUUGAACGGCCACAUUGGGACUGAGACACGGCCCAGACUCCUACGGGAGGCAGCAGUGGGGAAUAUUGCACAAUGGGGGAAACCCUGAUGCAGCGACGCCGCGUGGAGGAAGAAGGUCUUCGGAUUGUAAACUCCUGUUGUUGAGGAAGAUAAUGACGGUACUCAACAAGGAAGUGACGGCUAACUACGUG